GACGAACCGUGCAAACGUUGUUCGGAAUCACUGGGCUUAAAGGGCGCGUAGGCGGGCAGUCAAGUCAGGGGUGAAAUCUUUCGGCUCAACCGGAAAAGUGCCUUUGAAACUGACUGUCUCGAGGGAGGUAGGGGCGUGCGGAACUUCCGGUGGAGCGGUGAAAUGCGUAGAUAUCGGAAGGAACGCCGGUGGCGAAAGCGGCGCGCUGGACCUCUUCUGACGCUGAGGCGCGAAAGCCAGGGGAGCAAACGGG
rnacentral:rRNA from 2 species